rnacentral:sRNA from 1 species
GGAUAGUAGUGGAAAUCCUUUUGUUUGAUGAAGGAUUUUGUUUUUAGGUACCUAUGAUACUCCAAACAAAAGAUUGCAACGGAUAGCCCGACCGA